rnacentral:lncRNA from 1 species
UGGCCACUGUCGUGACUUGCCAGAGAGUUCAGAUCUGUCGGCUGGAGCUCGACUGGGAUAUCCGAUGGAGCGAAAUGGCUCUCUAUCCUGUUGAUCUAAGAGAAGCUCGGAUGAUUUUGAGGCUGCUAAUGAGUCUACUAUUGUCGGAUGCCUUAGGUACUGAUGCUACAGGUGGAAGUCAUCUGCUGUAGAAGCUCAGAUGGAGACUUUCUAUUGGUGAAGUUCGGUAGGGGUUCGGUUGCUAGAAAAGUCCGUCUGGGAUUUGCCCGAUGUCAAAGCUUGUCUGAAGAUUAUCCGUCGGAGAAGCCUGAUUUCAUGAGGAAUCUGGUGGAGGGUCAGCUGGCGGUGGACCUUGGAUGGCGUUGGGG